UGGUGGGGUGACCCGUCUGGUUAAUUUCGAUAACGAACGAGAUCCGAGCUGUUUAGUUGGCCGGCAUUACUUCGGUAGUGUUGUGUCUCCUAUAUGGACUGUCAGUUUGAGGCUGAAGGAAGUUUCGGGCUAAAUCA
rnacentral:rRNA from 1 species